UACAGAGGUCUCAAGCGUUGUUCGGAUUCAUUGGGCGUAAAGGGUGCGUAGGCGGCGCGGUAAGUCGGGUGUGAAAUCUCGGAGCUUAACUCCGAAACUGCAUUCGAUACUGCCGUGCUUGAGGACUUGGAGAGGAGACUGGAAUUUACGGUGUAGCGGUGAAAUGCGUAGAUAUCGUAAGGAAGACCAGUAGCGAAGGCGGGUCUCUGGACAGUUCCUGACGCUGAGGCACGAAGGUCAGGGGAGCAAACGGG
rnacentral:rRNA from 1 species